rnacentral:sRNA from 1 species
CCUUAGCCCUGAUGGUAGCGGUAUCCUUUUACUUGUUCUUUUCAACAAGUAAAAGAUAUAGCGGACAGCAGGAAAAAGC